UGUCACGUCACUUGAGAUCAGAAUGAAAUUAAGUUUUGAUCCCUUUGAGAUCUCUUAGCGCACAAAGUCAGGCUCCUAUCACUGCAAGGGGAAUCCGACCCUGGCUCGAGAAAAACUUGUGGAACUCGUGUCCUUUCCGCCCACCGUGGGGGGGCCGCACCGGUCGGAUCGGGCGAGGAGCCCGGGCGCUAGUUUGGGGGCGCAGCGGGGCCCGGCGGGGGCGGCGAGCGCGCGUCCCCCCGCCCGCUCAGGCGGCGUCGAGGCGCGAGCAGCUCAGCCAGCCUUGCAGAGGGAGCUCUCGGCAGCUCUGGGGUCCCUCUACUCGCAGCCGCAGCAGCGCCGCCUGCGCCACUCGGUGGAGACGGAGACCAGCGGCGGCGACGCGCGGACUGGGAGCGACCGCGGAGCAGCCGGGCGGCGGAGGACGCUCGCAAGGCCGCAGGGAAAUGGUGAUGUGUCCUACUUCAUGAAAUUGGCCCCAAAGACCAAGAAACGGAAAGCCAAACCAACAGGAUAGGCUGUUUCAUGCUGGACAGAAACAAGCGUGGAAUACAUGAGGAAGAAGAGUGGGAGACUGGAGGAAAGGUAAGGUUAGAAGAGGGCAAAAGGAAAAGAGGGGAGUCGGGGGAGCCUCCAGGGACCACCAACAUAAUAAAUUGUAUUCUGGA